rnacentral:rRNA from 1 species
CCAGACUCCUACGGGAGGCAGCAGUGGGGAAUAUUGCACAAUGGGGGGAGCCCUGAUGCAGCGACGCCGCGUGAGUGAAGAAGUAUUUCGGUAUGUAAAGCUCUAUCAGCAGGGAAGAAAAACCGACCAUAGGGUCGCUAGACGGUACCUGAUUAAGAAGCCCCGGCUAACUACGUGCCAGCAGCCGCGGUAAUACGUAGGGGGCAAGCGUUAUCCGGAUUUACUGGGUGUAAAGGGGGCGCAGACGGCAGCGCAAGCCAGGAGUGAAAGCCCGGGGCCCAACCCCGGGACUGCUCUUGGAACUGCGCGGCUGGAGUGCAGGAGGGGCAGGCGGAAUUCCUGGUGUAGCGGUGAAAUGCUUAGAUAUCACGAAGAACUCCGAUUGCGAAGGCAGCCUACUAAACUGCCACUGACAUUGAUGCUCGAAAGUGUGGGUAUCAAACAGGAUUAGAUACCCGUGUAU